GUGGCCUUUUUCACAGGCGAGCUGCCCGGUGCCUGGAAGGGGUGGCCCGUGUCUGAAUGAGGCCACCUCUGCUCUUCUGCAUCCUCCCGAAAGCCCCCGGCUAUUUUUUCAUCUGGUAACUGGAGCGUUUUGUUCUCUUUUUGAUCAGCAACACGAUAUAUGGAUUUGGCCUUCUUGGGCUAAAUUGACUGAUUUCUCGUUCCUGCCCAAAAUACGCAUGAGUUAGUUAUUACCCAGUUGUUAAAAGCCUUACCCUCCAUUUUUAUUUUCCUAGUUCCUUGUUGAUUAAGGUUGAAAAAAUCAUCGAAAAGCAGCAAAAUGAUGGUUUUAGCUUUGCCUUCCCCCCAAAUAAAUUACUUCUUCAUUGAGUAUAAACCGACUCAGCGCCCUUGGCUUCACCCCAGAGCCAAUAAAAGAACAUUUCCCUGUUUCUUGCCAAACCAGAUGAAAAAAAUUCCUGUCUCAAAUGAAGGUAUAAGUGACUGUCCGUGACAUGUUCCUUCUGGAACUGCAAGGAUGCAAAUGCGUGGCCGUGGGAAACACACGCUGCUGGCGGGAGUGCCCAUUGAAGGGAAAGUUAGCAAUUUGCAACAAAAUUGCAGACAGAUGUAUAUACAUCUUUAACCCAAUCAUCUUACUUCCAGGAAGCUACACUACUUCUUUACCUGCACUUGGGCAGGAGGAUGUCACGGCCAAGAGUGUUUGCUGCAGCUUUUAAUAAUGGUGGAAAAAUGGAAGGACUCCAAAUACCCAGCCACAAGGGGGAAUGCAUUCACGGAAUCUUUCUGCUGCGGAACAGCUCUGGAGGCAGCGACCACGCUCAGCCCAGUCUUCAACCACCUGGCCCUGAUCAGGCCACCGGUCAGCAAGACUGGGGACAACAUCAGCCCCCACCCUGGCACAGCACAUUCUAACCCUCCCAAGUGUGGUCAGUUACCUGGUUUCAAGUCUGUUAGGCCGUCCUGGCAUCAUCAGAACAAGAGGUCAGCCCGCUUUCCACUCCAUGCACUUCCUACACGCCGUGUGGGACGCCUCUGUCUCCGGGACACUCCACAGACCUGUGAUGUGUCUUUUCACGUGUCCUUUUUCUUUUACGACUGAUGAGAUCAGAACUGAAAAAUGAUGUAUUUAAUCAAAUAAUAAAUAAAUACGCAAAUAUUUAUGUAUUUAUCUUUUUACGGCCACACCUGCAGCAUAUGGAAAUUCCCAGGCCAGGGACUGAAUCUGAGCUGCAGCUGCAGCAACACCGGAUCCUUGGACUCCCCGUCCCAGGCAGGGGAUCGAACCUGUACAUCUUCAGCGACCUAAGCUGCAGCAGUUGGAUUCUUAACCCACUGCACCAUGACAAGAACUCCUAAACAUUUGUUUUAAAUUUACCAAUUAGUUUUGCUGUCAUAAGAUGAUACCACUCCUCUGACUUCCUAUUGCCUGUGUCCCUUUUGGGAUUUUAUAUAGAAUGUCACCAUUAAAUCAUUCCCCUUAAUUCUUUCCCAUUGCCCAAUAUUUUCUCACAGGACAAAAUGCCUUAUUGUCACCUCCCCUAGGAGGAAUCUGUUCUAUUGGCCUUACUGAGAUAAAGGAAUUUAACAGCAGUCGCAGAGAAAGGUUCAGUACAGACCAGGUGUGUGCUGGCGGGACGGCUAAGCCUGCUUUCAUUUGUGCUCUGGGCAUGUUACCUUCCCAAGAAACAUCUUUAGAUUUACAGGCUUCCUAUGAAUAUCUACUUCCCUUUUCUAGUGUAGCAUUAUGCAUUUCAAAAAAGCACACAGGAGUUCCCGUCAUGGCUCAAUGGUUAGCAAAUCCAGCUAGGAACCAAGAGGUUUUGUGUUCGAUCUCCGGCCUCGCUCAGUGGGUUAAGGAUCCAGCACUGCCAUGAGCUGUGGUAUAGGUUGCAGACACGGCUUGGAUCUGGCAUUCAUUGCUGUGGCUCUGGUGUAGGCUGGUGGCUACAGCUCUGAUUAGACCCCCAACCUGGGAACCUCCAUAUGCUGUGAUGGCAAACCUAAAAAGGAAAAAAAAGACCAAAAAAAAAGCACACACAGAAAAAGGAUAAUGCAAAGUUUUAUUCUUUUUUUUUCUCGAGGUGGUACAAACUUCUUUUCAUAAUUCUUUUCAUGUUUUUAUCCUUAUAAAAAUAUAUCUCACAUGUGUCAAGUAGCCUACUUAUAAAACAUCCUGCACUAUUUAAAUAGAAAAGAGUAAUAUUUGACUUUCAACAAAUAUAUGCUGAAUGACGGAAUAAUUUUGAUGAUUUGGCAGACCCUCGUGGUUGGCAAAUCAAAUUUCCAUUCCCUCGACAUGGUACCUCAUCAGAGAAAUGCAGCAACAGUGAGAUACCACCGUGCACCUGUUAAGAGGGCCAACCUCUCAUAUGCCACAUCGCCAAGUGCUGGCGACGACGUGAAGCCACAGGAACUCUCACUCAUUGCUGACGGGAGUGCAAAAUGGCACAGCCACUUUGGAAGAUAGUUUAGAG
rnacentral:lncRNA from 9 species